AGAGUUUGAUCCUGGCUCAGAUUGAACGCUGGCGGCAUGCUUUACGCAUGCAAGUCGAACGGCAGCGGGGGCUUCGGCCUGCCGGCGAGUGGCGAACGGGUGAGUAAUGCAUCGGAACGUGCCCAGUCAUGGGGGAUAACUACGCGAAAGCGUAGCUAAUACCGCAUACGCCCUGAGGGGGAAAGCGGGGGAUCGCAAGACCUCGCGUGAUUGGAGCGGCCGAUGUCGGAUUAGCUGGUUGGUGGGGUAAAGGCCUACCAAGGCGACGAUCCGUAGCGGGUCUGAGAGGAUGAUCCGCCACACUGGGACUGAGACACGGCCCAGACUCCUACGGGAGGCAGCAGUGGGGAAUUUUGGACAAUGGGGGCAACCCUGAUCCAGCCAUGCCGCGUGAGUGAAGAAGGCCUUCGGGUUGUAAAGCUCUUUCAGACGGAAAGAAAUCG
rnacentral:rRNA from 1 species